rnacentral:lncRNA from 1 species
UAGAAGAUAGAUUACAUAAUCCUUAUAUCUGUAUUUGAAAAUAUUCAAAUUAUAGCUCUCUCAACUCACGCUUGCAUCUACAUUGGGAAGAAGUCUCUUAUGAUAGAAAAGGAUAUGACCUAAAGGCAGCUCAUGGAUGAUGUGGCUUUGUGUAUAGGUGUGAAGAAAAAAGUGUAUUGCUACUUCAUUAACAUUCAGUCAGAGGUGGUGUUGAAAGGUAAUAAUGAGGUGAAAUCCUCCCACGGUGCUGAGCCUUACUUAGGUGUCACACCUACUCAUUGACUUGCUACAUAGAAGUAUCUUAAAAUCAGUAUGCAUGUGAAAUAAAAGGGGUAGUAAAUGGCUUGGCUAGCUGGCUGGGGCCUUGAAGGAGAGUGAGAGGAUGGGGGAGGAUAAGGAACUGUGGACAAGAGUUAUAUGGAUGGCCUUAUGGGGGUGGGUACAAGGCAACCCACAUGGAAGAGGCCCUAAAAAGCUGUGUAGAUCCAACAACUCAUUCAGUUGAUGUCAACCCACCCCUUUCUUCAGGCUCAUGAAUAGAGUAGUGAUGACCAGAGGUGGAGUCUAAACUGCUUUGGAAUGGAGUCUAACAGCUAUCAACUGUUAGCCUUCCAUUCUCCAAACUGAAUUUAGCUACUGCUAUUGGGGAAUCUCAGAUCUUACAGAAACAGAAAUCAAUACUGAGCACCUAAUCAAACAUUAUUCUGUGAAGCUGCUAAUUAUCCACAUAGUGAUUAGUUGAUUACAACAAAUACAUUAUACCCUGGAAAUGCAGUAAUCCUUAUUGACUUGGAUAAAUAUGACACAGAGCACAAAGCCUUUCAAACUAUGGAAUGGAAAAUAUUGGAGGAGGUCAACUUGAGGAUGGUGUUUUGAGACUGAAGAUAUCUUACAUACUUGGUGGAGUCCUACUUUUAAAUAAAAACAACAUUAGAAAAAUAACAACGCUUCAGAUAUGUCAUAGAGUGAAUUUUGUGGUUCACCAGGGCCCAAAGGACUUGUCCUUAAAAUCUGCAGAUUCAAAACAUGCUCUACCAAUGCAUCUAGAGUUUGACAAUGAUGAUUAUCAAAUCAAGAUGACAGAAACUAC